UACGUAGGGUGCAAGCGUUGUCCGGAAUUAUUGGGCGUAAAGAGCUCGUAGGCGGUUUGUCGCGUCUGCUGUGAAAACUCGGGGCUUAACCCCGGGCCUGCAGUGGGUACGGGCAGACUAGAGUGCGGUAGCGGAGACUGGAAUUCCUGGUGUAGCGGUGAAAUGCGUAGAUAUCUGGAGGAACACCGGUGGCGAAGGCGGCAUCCUGGACCAACACUGACGCUGAGUGAGCGAAAGCCAGGGGAGCAAACGGG
rnacentral:rRNA from 1 species